CACAGCUACAUUGUCGCCUGAAAAUAUCUUAAAAGGUUAUUUUGUGACCCAGAAAGGGUAGUCUGGGGAAAAGGAGGAUCGCAUUUGUCGGCCACGGUUGUCGGAGCCUGCUCGGGACCAGCACUCCUGUUGUUGGACACAAAGACAUCAACUCAGUGACUUGAGAUAUGACUGCACUAUGCUGUUGCUGGUGACCACAGUUAAUUCUACAAGACAUGCUGUGACAACAGGAGAGAUGAGUCCUCCGUCACAGAUGGUGUGGCCAGUGAAGAUGGUCGCCUGCAGGUUCAAGCUCAUUGCAUCUCCAACCCACAUCCACUGCCACUGUACUUAAGGGAAGUUAAAGACUUUCUUCUGCACUUACAUUUGGAUCACCUCGAUCCAUGACAGUCAUUCAGGCAGUAAUGCCUGGACUGGAAACAAGCAUCCUUAAAAUAAUACAACAUUCCAG
ensembl:lncRNA